rnacentral:rRNA from 1 species
GACGAACGCUGGCGGCGUGCCUAAUACAUGCAAGUCGAACGCAGUGGGGACGGGUGAGGAACACGUGGGUAACCUCGCAUCAGAGGGGAUAACACUUGGCAACAGGUGCUAAACCGCUACUGAUGGAUGGACCCGCGGUGCAUUCGCUAGUUGGUGAGGUAACGGCUCACCAAGGCCACGAUGCAUAGCCGACCUGAGAGGAUGAGCGGCCACACUGGGACUGAGACACGGCCCAGACUCCUACGGGAGGCAGCAGUGGGGAAUCUUCGGCAAUGGACGAAAGUCUGAUCGAGCAACGCCGCGUGAAUGAAGAAGGUUUUCGGAUCGUAAAACUCUGUUGUUAGGGAAGCGUUACCUAACCAGAAAGCAACGGCUAACUACGUGCCAGCAGCCGCGGUAAUUC